CUCAGAUUGAACGCUGGCGGCAUGGCUAAAACAUGCAAGUCGAACGAGAACCUCGCAAGAGGAGACAGUGGCGGAAGGGUCAGUAAUGGGAUCGAAUGUACCCCGAGGUGGAGGAUAGCGUCGGGAAACUGACGGUAAUACUCCAUGUCCUCUACGGAGAAAAGAUUUAUCGCCUUGGGAGCAGCGAUCCUCCUAUCAGGUAGUUGGCGGGGUAAAAGCCCACCAAGCCGAAGACGGGUAGCGGGUGUGAGAGCACGGCCCGCGACAUGGAGACUGAGACACUGCUCGGACUCCUACGGGAGGCUGCAGUAACGAAUAUUCCGCAAUGCGCGAAAGCGUGACGGAGCAAUGCCGCGUGCAGGAUGAAGCGGUUUUGCCGUGUAAACUGCUGUCAGGGAUAAGAAAUACUGAUCUAUCCCAGAGGAAGGGGCGACUAACUCUGUGCCAGCAGUCGCGGUAAUACAGAGGCCCCGAGCGUUAAUCGGAAUCACUGGGCUUAAAGGGUGCGUAGGCGGGUCAGUAAGCGCUUUGUGAAAUCCCACAGCUCAACUGUGGAACCGCAGGGCGAACUGCUGAUCUUGAGGAAGCUAGAGGCUGGUAGAACGAUAGGUGGAGCGGUGGAAUGCGUAGAGAUCUAUCGGAAUGCCGAAAGUGAAGACAGCCAGCUGGGGCUUUCCUGACGCUAAAGCACGAAAGCGUGGGGAGCAAACCGGAUUAGAUACCCGGGUAGUCCACGCCCUAAACGAUGUGCACUAGACUGGAGCGGCUCUGACGUCGUUCUGGUCGUAGAGAAAUUGUUAAGUGCACCGCCUGGGUAGUACGGUCGCAAGGCUAAAACUCAAAU
rnacentral:rRNA from 1 species